AUGCACACACCUUCCUCAAGCCGGCCUCUGAGUGGGGGAGGCUUGGGGCAUUCGGAUGUAAGUUGUAAUGGGUAUUUCUCCACUGAUCAGUAACCAGUUUGCUUCUGCUUCCUCCCUCCCUCUGUCCUGCCUCUCCUCCCUGCUCUCGCUCCUUCCUCCUUGUCUUCCUCAUCCCCGCCCCUCUCCCUCUUCCCUCCACGCCUCCCUCUCUUCUUUCCCGUUUCCCCUUCUUCCUCCCUCCUUCCGUCUCUCUCCGCUCCUCUCCCAUGACAUGACACAUCCUGUGAGGCUCCAGCUGGCUUGGGGGUGGGCAGUGGGUUUUUCACCAUGUGCCUGCCCGUCCCCUUGGGUACCGUUCGGAGGUGGGGAGAUGCCAGUCCGGCAGCAGCGUCUGUUCAGGGAGCAGAAUCAGCUUCUCGAGCCGCAGCGAGAGUCGAGAGUCGCCACACACGGGAAGAUCAGAUGCCUCUCGAGGUGCUCGGGACCUGGGAGUCCCAGAUGCAGGGCGGCGUGUCCACUAACCAGCUGGAGUGGAUACAGCGUGGCAAUGUCACUACACUCUCCCACAUCCCGGAGCGCAAGAGCUGCGUGUCAGCCCCGCCGGAGGCCCACAGCGAGGAAACGCUCCGAGCCGCCGUUUUUUCUGGGCGUGUGCGCAGCCCAGCAAACUGUUUUCUAAAGGCUUUGAUCUCACAAGUGGUCAAGUUGGCAUUUUUUGAGCCUUCAGCUUCUCCCUUCGAGGGCGGGCGUCACGGUGGCAGUCCCAGGUGUGCCCGCUAGAUGGCGCCGGGAAACCAGGUUGUGGUCACAGGGGUCCCGGCUUUCCCCUCGAGCCCGGGCAAACAGGCUCCUCCUGCAGCCCACGCAGAGCUGAGCACCGCACCUCCCCGGCACCUGGAGAGGUGUCGCCUACCUGUGCGGCGACAGCCACCACCGCGCGGCUAGGUGGGCAUCUAGUAGGAUUGUUCCUUGAAACUUUUAUUGCUUUUAUUUAAAGGGACGUGUGCCCACUAUGUACUUGUAAAAACCCCUGCACCCCUAGUAUGGCAGAACCAUUGCUCCACAUAUCUGAUCUGGGUCCGUGCGUCGUCCAGAGCUGGCCUGCCUGUAAACAGACCGCAGGUGGACAUCACACUGUGUAGUAAUGAGGCCCUACUCUACGUGCUGUUGUUUGAAGUUUCCCAUUUACUUAUAUUUAAUAAAAGACAAAGAAUCUAAUGUAAAAUCCCCGAGCUUCAGAAAACAUUAGCCACUUCAACAAAUACUGUUUUGUUUUUUUAAUAAACACUUUGCUACGAGUAGGGAAACAAUUAUGGUACAAACAAAUCAAUGAUUGGGGUCAUUAUUUCACUUUUAUUAUUGCUGUUGUUACCAUCAUUGCUACCGCCAUGGCUGUGUUCACUCUUUUUUUUUUUUUUUUUUUUUUUUUGGUACUGGGGAUUGAACUCGGGUCCUUGAACUUGUUCAGCAGGUGGUGAAACCACUGAGCUAAAUCCCUGGCCCUUGUGUUCACUCUUUUGAUGCCAUCAUUUAAUUUUAGUGUAGAACCCAAGUUAUCCGAUAUGGUAGCCACGAGCUUACCUGUGCCUGUUAAAAUUAAUAUACAAUAAAAUUAAAAAACACCCAGCUCCUCAGUUGCAAAGUAGCCACAUUUCAAAUGCUAAGAGUUUUCACAGUGCACAUAUGGAAUAACCCAGCAGUGGAGAGAGUUCCGUGGGAUUGUGCAGGUAUCGAUUGGUUUACCCUGGCAGAGGAAUGGACAGAACCCGAGGCCCCUCCCACUUCCCCCUUCCUAGAUACAGUGGACCCUUGACUUACAAACUCAGUUCGUUCCUGAGGGCUGGUUGUAACUCAAGUUGGUUAUGAAGGCUCAGGCUCCUCUACGCAGCCUUCAGAGUCUCCUGUACACAGGCAGAUCACAGUGUCCUUAGAGAGGCGUCGGCCCAGGAUUUCUCAGUUAACCCACACAGGAGAGGAUGCUGUCAUGCUCCUUCCGGGACUCUGUAAGGGUUAAUCUGUAUCUGAGACCGUCUGGAAGCACGAGCGGCCAGCAUUUGGGUUGUAACUCAAGACUUGGGUCAUAAGUUAAAGCCAAAAUUCCAGUCGUAACCCAAGUUGUUCAUACGUUAGGCUAGUCAUAACUUGCGGGUCGAUUGUAUUCAUUAGUUACGUGUAUGCAAC
rnacentral:lncRNA from 1 species